rnacentral:tRNA from 1 species
UCGGGUAUGGUGUAAAGGCUAACAUUGCCGCCUCUCAUGAGCGUCCGCGGCAGCUCGGGGUUCGAUUCCCUGUACCCGAA